CGACACAGCGGCACAUGCGCAGUGAAAUCCUCAGGGGGGCUGAGGCGCCUUCAGCACUUUUCAAGGAGAAUGUGCGCAUGCGCCACAGUCCUUCCUGGCUUCUGCGAAAGCCGUGCCCCGCCUUCGAAUCUUAAAGAGCUAGAAGCAGCUUCGGUUCUUGCUGAGCAGGAGUACGCAGGCGCAGUGGGGUAGUGCUUCAGUCGGAAAUAGUCGUCGCUAUUAAGUUGCUGCUCUGUGUCCCAGCAGAGGAAGCUAGAGUGCCGAUCGUCCGAUCACCAAUUUGCGCCUUACUAGAUCCACUGGACCAGAAAAGUUUGUGAAUAGGAAGUCCCGAGUUUUGGGAGACCCAGGCUUGGAGCGUAGGGAGACGGAGGAGGCUGGAGGGAGCUCCUACCAUGGAGCCCACUCAGCUUUCAGAUGACCUCAUCCCAAACCAGCAGUCCCCUGCUCCUGAACUUGAGGAUCCUGAGGACCCCAGAGACGAAUCUCCAGACAGCUCAGACACUGUGGUCCUCAGUCUGUUCCCUUGCACCCCAGAGGCUGUGAAUCCCGAAUCAGCCAGUGCAUCCUCAUCACAGGGCAGCUUCUUGAAGCACUCAACAACCCUUACAAACCGGCAGCGUGGGAAUGAAGUCUCAGCUCUGCCAGCCACCCUGGAUUCACUGUCCGUUCACCAGCUUGCAGCACAGGGGGAGCUGAGCCAACUGAAGGACCAUCUCCGGAAGGGUGACAACCUGAUCAACAAACCAGAUGAACGUGGCUUCACUCCCCUCAUCUGGGCCUCAGCCUUUGGAGAAAUUGAGACGGUUCGCUUCCUGCUAGAGUGGGGUGCUGACCCCCACAUCCUGGCCAAGGAGAGAGAGAGUGCCCUGUCGCUUGCCAGCAUGGGUGGCUACACGGACAUUGUGAGGUUGUUGCUUGAUCGAGACGUGGACAUCAACAUCUACGAUUGGUCUUAUCCCACAGAAUGGAGGGACACCACUACUCUACGCGGUGCGUGGGAACCAUGUCAAGUGUGUAGAGGCCUUGCUGGCCCGGGGCGCUGACCUCACCACAGAGGCCGACUCUGGCUACACCCCAAUGGACCUCGCAGUGGCCUUGGGAUUCCGCAAAGUGCAACAGGUGAUGGAGAACCACAUCCUCCAACUGUUCCAGAGAACUCUGGGGCCUGCAGACCCAGAGUGAAGAUGGCCUGCUGGGGACCCAGGCACUCAGGGAAUAAGCCAGGCUGCCCCACAACUGGCUUGAGGCAGCUCCCGGACAGUGGUGGGAAGGGAUCCUCCCCAACAGGAACCAAUAAAUCUGUGCAGAAGUUGAAGGGCUUCUGGUGCCUCCCAGGGGUCUUCCUGGAGGUGGCGCCGAUGCUCUCACACUGCCUUCUCACCCAA